UUCAGACCAGUAGCUGCAAGGAACUGAGAGAAAAAUAUGAACAUAGUACUUACUGACUGAAGCUCUCCUUUGACAAAUAGCAGUAAGUCAUCAGCAAAGCUUAAAUGAGUAAUUCCCAAUUUUUUACAACCAGGAUGAUAUAUGAAGCUUUUGGCAUGGCUCAACUCUGCCAAGGAUCUGCUAAGAUAUUCCAUCACAAUAGAAAAC
rnacentral:lncRNA from 1 species